rnacentral:rRNA from 1 species
CCUACGGGAGGCAGCAGUGGGGAAUAUUGCACAAUGGGGGAAACCCUGAUGCAGCGACGCCGCGUGAGUGAAGAAGUAUUUCGGUACGUAAAGCUCUAUCAGCAGGGAAGAAAAUGACGGUACCUGACUAAGAAGCCCCGGCUAACUACGUGCCAGCAGCCGCGGUAAUACGUAGGGGGCAAGCGUUAUCCGGAUUUACUGGGUGUAAAGGGAGCGUAGACGGCAGCGCAAGUCUGGAGUGAAAUCCCAUGGCUUAACCAUGGAACUGCUUUGGAAACUGUGCAGCUAGAGUGCAGGAGAGGUAAGCGGAAUUCCUAGUGUAGCGGUGAAAUGCGUAGAUAUUAGGAGGAACAGCAGUGGCGAAGGCGGCUUACUGGACUGUAACUGACGUUGAGGCUCGAAAGCGUGGGGAGCAAACAGGAUUAGAUACCCCGGUAGU